rnacentral:rRNA from 1 species
GAUGAACGCUGGCGGCGUGCCUAAUACAUGCCAGUCGAGCGAACGGACGAGAAGCUUACUUCUCUGAUGUUAGCGGCGGACGGGUGAGUAACACGUGGAUAACCUACCUAUAAGACUGGGAUAACUUCGGGAAACCGGAGCUAAUACCGGAUAAUAUUUUGAACCGCAUGGUUCAAAAGUGAAAGACGGUCUUGCUAUCACUUAUAGAUGGAUCCGCGCUGCAUUAGCUAGUUGGUAAGGUAACGGCUUACCAAGGCAACGAUGCAUAGCCGACCUGAGAGGGUGAUCGGCCACACUGAAACUGAGACACGGUCCAGACUCCUACGGGAGGCAGCAGUAGGGAAUCUUCCGCAAUGGGCGAAAGCCUGACGGAGCAACGCCGCGUGAGUGAUGAAGGUCUUCGGAUCGUAAAACUCUGUUAUUAGGGAAGAACAUAUGUGUAAGUAACUGUGCACAUCUUGACGGUACCUAAUCAGAAAGCCACGGCUAACUACGUG